AUAUUAGCCCUUUGUCAGAUGGGUAGAUUGCAAAAAUUUUCUCCCAUUCUGUAGAUUGCCUGUUCACUCUGAUGGUAGUUUCUUUUGCUGUGCAGAAGCUCUUUAGAAGUUAACAAGGAUACCCAGGAAUUGAACUCAGCUCUGCACCAAGCGGACCUAAUAGACAUCUACAGAACUCUCCACCCCAAAUCAACAGAAUAUACAUUCUUUUCAGCACCACACCUACUCCAAAAUUGACCACAUAGUUGGAAGUAAAGCACUCCUCAGCAAAUGUAAAAGAACAGAAAUUCUAACA
rnacentral:lncRNA from 1 species